rnacentral:misc_RNA from 1 species
GAUGAAGAACGUAGUGAAAUGCGAUAAGUAAUGUGAAUUGCAGAGUUCAGUGAAUCAUCGAAUCUUUGAACGCACAUUGCGCCCGCCAGUAUUCUGGCGGGCAUGCCUGUUCGAGCGUCAUUACAACCCUCAGGCCCCCGGGCCUGGCGUUGGGGAUCGGCGGAGCCCCCCGUGGGCACACGCCGUCCCCCAAAUACAGUGGCGGUCCCGCCGCAGCUUCCAUCGCGUAGUAGCUAACACCUCGCGACUGGAGAGCGGCGCGGCCACGCCGUAAAACACCCAACUCUUCUGAAGUUGACCUCGAAUCAGGUAGGAAUACCCGCUGAACUUAAGCAUAUCAAUAAGCGGAGGA